GUGGAUCAAUCAUGGAAUUCUUUCCAAGUACAAGGAAAGGCAGCUUUUGUGCUAAAGGAGAAGUUGAAGCUGUUGAAGAUGGAAUUAAAAGAGGAACAUUGAGACGUUUGGAAACUUGCAACAACAAUGUAAUGAUUCGAUGGCAAAAAUCAACUUCCCGGAUUUGAAGGAUAAGCUAGAUGUCUUGAGUGAAGAAGAAUUGCAAAGGAGGAGGGUUUGUUUGGGAGAGCUUUGGAAAGUCUCGAGACACCAUGAUUCUCUUACCCAACAAAAAGCUAGAGUGAAGCGGUGUGGGAAUGUGACGGAGAGAUAAAAGUCUGAGGCCAAAUGGGUUAAACUUUAAUUUCAUUAAGAGACGUUGGGACACUUUGAAGGGGGACAUUGUUUCUAUAUGAUGAUGGAGUUUCGGGAGAAUGGUGUGCUUCCUA
rnacentral:lncRNA from 1 species